CCCCCAAACCCCCACGGUCUACAUAGGAUCCCUCACAGACACACCCCCUUUUAAAGGCCACCUCAGUAGCCAUGACUGGGCCACUAGGUGGCUCACUAAGCCCAUCCCUGUGCCCAAGUCGUCACCACUUAGGGGAAUGAGCCCCCCACCAGAUCCCGGCUGCCCUGCCUCCCUCCCCAGCAUCCCCCUCCUCCCGAAGCUCCCCAUAACAAUCGGACUCCCUUCGGCCUGGCGGCCCCCACCCUCUCCCGCUUUCGCAUCACUGGUGCUCUUUCAUAAGCCACCAAACCUUAACACUACCUGCUUCUAAGGGCCUGGCUCCCUCUACAGGGCCGUCGGCUACGGAACCUGCCUCGCCCAAGCCCCGCCCCCAGCCAAGAAGAUGGAGGACGGAGCCUCGCUCCAUUGCCCAUUCCCACCCACUUCAACCCAAGUCCUCACCAAGCUCCCCCGCCCCGAAUUUUCCUGGCUUCCAUGGACCGAGUGCUCCUUUGGGCACCAGGGAGAAGGGAAAACUCGGGGAGCAGGGAGUCCCAAGGCGUGGGACUCCUCUUCUAAGUUGUUGCUCGCAAUUGUUUCAUAUAGUGCCAUGGCAGGAGACUUCAAAACGGUCACCGGGAUUUAUAGAAAACAGACUAAAAGAUGCUAGAGCUGAAGCAGGAGAAACACGCCAGCUGUGCCAAAGACAGUCAGCCCUCCGGCCGAGGUUCUGGACAGCACUGGACCCCGAAGGAAGAUGAGGGAGACGGCUCUUGCCCAAACCUCCAAGGACCAUCCCCUUAUUACUCACCGGCCUCAAGCUGCAGCUGGCCAUCAGCCGGCAAGCAGAUGCCAUUCUAAUAGGAGCCAGGCUCCUGAGUGCCACCUGCCAUGGGAUGGCAAGGUUCUCUUUGCUUUCACUUUGUGAUUGCGAUCUGGAAUUGCGCUUCUCUACAAAAGGCUAUCGUAUGACUGUUCCUUUGCCAAAAGUGAAGUUGAGAAUAAAGAUCUUAACAGGGA